AGCGAACGCUGGCGGCAGGCCUAACACAUGCAAGUCGAACGAACCUUUCGGGGUUAGUGGCGGACGGGUGAGUAACACGUGGGAACGUGCCUUUAGGUUCGGAAUAACUCAGGGAAACUUGUGCUAAUACCGAAUGUGCCCUUCGGGGGAAAGAUUUAUCGCCUUUAGAGCGGCCCGCGUCUGAUUAGCUAGUUGGUUGAGGUAAUGGCUCACCAAGGCGACGAUCAGUAGCUGGUCUGAGAGGAUGAUCAGCCACAUUGGGACUGAGACACGGCCCAAACUCCUACGGGAGGCAGCAGUGGGGAAUCUUGCGCAAUGGGCGAAAGCCUGACGCAGCCAUGCCGCGUGAAUGAUGAAGGUCUUAGGAUUGUAAAAUUCUUUCACCGGGGAAGAUAAUGACGGUACCCGGAGAAGAAGCCCCGGCUAACUUCGUG
rnacentral:rRNA from 1 species